CGGAUAUUUAAAGACGUCACCUUGGGCUCUGGGAAAUUGAGGGGCAAUGUUCUUUAUUUUCUGACGUAAGGCUAAACGCUUAGUUGAGAAAAUAAGCUUUAAAAGUUGUUAUUUUUAUUCAACACUAAACCAUUCCAGACCAUUUAUUAGCUUUUAGAUAGCCUGAAUUUGAUUUACAGAAAAAGUUUGCAAUCCCAAAAGUGGGGUUAGCAACCACAUUUUCAAAGAUCCAUGACAGUGUUCAGACUUAGCUCUGAAAUGUGUCCGUGAUGAUCAGAUCCUAUUCUGAAGCUGCAUGGAUGAGAGGAAGUUUUCCACAAACAAAAUCAAACACAUAGUUCGCCUAGGCAACUGAGUAUAUCUGGACACAAGACACAAGGUGUGAACAGGUUAAAUUGUCUCAGCCUUUCCUUUGACGUCAUCCACAGAAGGUAAGGACAGCGGGGGCCCUGGAGGGCUGUAUGGCUCCUGGCACUGCUGGUGGAGGGGGAAGCAAUGAGAGGAACCCACUCCACCCUGAUAGGACCUGUGAGGGAGGCAGUGGAGAAAAAGCUGCUAGGACCUAUGACUCCAUGAUGUCACACAGCCACAUCACCCCUCUCAGCAAACCCUAGAGUACACCCUGCUAGGUGGGCUAGGGUCACCAUGGAUCAUGAGAAGCUGUCGUGGGAUGGUGUGGCCAAGUUGACUCCACUGUCCUCUCGUCGAUCCCUCAAAGACACAAGCACGGACUCCUCUCAACUCCACCUCUGCGCUGUGGAGAUGCUGUCGCUCCGCAGGUCUGAUCCCUUUCCCCAGAAACUACUGGUCCACUUGGCAGAAGGUGGAGGGGCAGACUUGUGCUCUCUUAGCCCCUAUGUGCUCCGUCUCUCAGGGGCGGGAUUUGCCUACUACGCUCCAGGGCCGGAGACCUCCGUGUGAACACAAACGCAGAGUCUGAAACUAUUGUGUGUGUGGAUCUCGUGGGCUGAAACAAAAAGUACAUCCAAAGAUGUGCGACCAAGAUUCUGCGUCUCAAGGAUGAAGGAUUUAUAGAGCAAAAUAUGAACAAACAUGUUCACACACAUCAACCACAUGCUGAGUUCACCAUGUGCAUUUUCUGGGCUACACCUGAGUGAACAAUCUUUUAGAUAGAUAUUACAGCCCUGACGCCUCAUCUUCAUACUUUGGUAACAUCUUUUUGAUUCAGUGUCCUCCCAGUCUCAGUCUCAUCAAAGUUCCUACCCAAACUCUUACUUGAAAAAGUCUAAGAACAAAAGGGGAACCAUGUGUGAAGUUGUUUAAUGCACUAUGGAACUGUCCUGUUUCAACAUGUCAACAGUCGGGCCUUUUUGUAUUCCUUAUGUCCUCAUUUCCAGUCACUUUCUUGCCUGUUCCUCCACUUUCUUGUCCUUUUUUUGCUUCUUUGUUGAAAACAUUUAUGUACAGUAUGUGGUCUGGCCAAGUAAGGGGCAGCUCUCGAGCUCAGCCCUUUAGGUGUGCGUGUGUGUGCAUGUGCGCGAGUGUAUGCAUGAAUUUGCCUGUUACUGUUUAUAUGUGACACACCUUUGCCUUACAGGUAGCCACACAGCAGCAGGCUAGGAGCCAAAGGAGAAAAGUGUAAUAAAAAAGAAAAAGAAAAAAAGGCAGAAGUGGUGUAUUACAAAGCCUUACACACACACACACACACACACACACACUCAGCUGAAGGAGAGAAACGGGAAAUCUGAAGAGGGAUGUGCAGUAUUCUAGCCACCCUGCCUUAAUUCAUAGAUACUGAUACCUAAUUAUAUUUCUAGGUCAGUUUAAACAUGUUUGUAGGUGGACAGGGAGGUUCAGAGGGCAUAGAUGUCUGGUACAGUGUGUCUAUUAUUCCUCUUCCUCUUCUUUUACUCUCACGAUUGUGUCAACUUUUGUUUUUCUUAUCUGCCAGUGUAGCAUGUCGGAUCUCUGCUGCAUGCUGAUCUGCUCUUGUCUCAGUUCUUCCUUAUCCUUCCUUCGUCCCAGACAUCAUUCAUCAUGAACCAUAUCUCAACACCUUUUCUUUCAUUCCAACAAUAAGCAUACUGUAUCCACUCCUGCCUCCAUGUGGCCAUGAAGGGUAACAGCAGAAGCUGCAGCAGCAGGCCGAGACUCAUGGAGUCUUCAUUUAUGGAUGUCCUAAUUGACAUGCUACUCCUCACUGUUGCAUUGUGCUUGUGUGUUUGCUGCCAUGCUCUGUGUUAUGCAAAAGUUAAUAUAAUGCUAAUGUCAUAUGUUGCAUUAUAAGGUUUUUUUCUCUGUCUUGCAUUUAUCCAUGAGUUUUUCUGUAUUCUAAAAUUAUUGAUGGCGGUCACUGUUAAUGUAUGGAUGUAACUUAAACUUUUGAUAUAUAUUGUAGUGAGAAGGAGUGUUAUAUUAGUCUGAUGUAAGUGGGAGGGAGACUUGAAUCGGCGAUGUCACAAUCAAAUCAAUAGAAUGUUGAGCUGAUUUGUCCAUCAUGUUCUACAGCUGAAGAUUGAAGCUCAUUAUGGAUGAACCUCUUUUCUGCAUUUCUAACAUCCGAAGUCCUCUUAGUCCAAAGCAUAUCUGUCUGGUUGCACAGCAAGUAACUGACUGGGGAAGUCUUGAAUGUCAGAUUCCGAAGCUUUUUUGUAUGUUUAUACAGUUUAUUUUCAUACACAUCACCAUCUGCCAACAUGUAUAGAUUUAAUAACAGGUGUUCAGUAUUUUUUUACUGGGGCACAGAUGAUUUAUCAAUUUGGUUGAAGGUCUGUUUUUUUCUCUUUCAUUUUUCACUCAAAGCCUGCAAGCCUCCACAAGUGUUUGGACUUCCUGACCUCAGUAGAUUAAAUGAAGGGCCUUGGUGCUUGUUAUGCAGUGUCCCACCUCGCUGUGCUGUUGCCAUACUGUAUCCAGACAUAUUGUACAUGUCACAUACCAAUUCUACCACAAUAAUGCUAUAAGGUCUAUUUUACUUUAAUAAUGUAAUGGGGAAUUCUUUGGAGUCAUUCUUCAAACACGGUUUGUUAUCUAAGUCCUCCACAGCUCGGUUGUUCUUACUACUUGUCAUUUUUGUGUUGUCCAUUGUGAAUAUUUCUUUUGCUACUUUUGUAUCCCAGAGAGAAGACUAUAUUUUAAAUCUGUUAGAAUGUGUGUUCAAGUUUGUAACCAAAAUUAGAGCAACAUAUACAUUAUAUGAUUCAUUAGAGAUUCACCAAUAGGUCUACACACUGCACUUUGUUCUACAACAGAUCAGUUUUCCCCUAAAACAAGGUCUAUUGUCUGUCGACUGAGGUUUAUAAGUGUUCACUCUUCCUCACAAGUUAUUUUUCUAAGAAGAAUGUAGUGGGUGAGGGGGAAAAAAAGUGACCAAAUAACUUGACUAGGAACGGACUGUCUGUAGCCUCUGUCUCAAAUGGGUUUAUCGCACCAGCCUUCUACUGCUGAUCAGAAUGUCAAACUGCUUUUUCUAAGUCCAUCAGCAGAACAGCAGGUGCUGAUCCUGUCACUCCUGAGCUUGGCAAAGGUCUGAAAUGUCGACUUCUGUGCUCUGAGCAGCACGCAUCAUAUCAUACCUUCAGUGCAGCACUGUUUGUAUUACUAAACAGGUUUUGAGAAUUUACUCUUUUUUUAAUAAAGAUUUCUCUAAAGAAGUUCACUUAUUGACUUUUUUGCCAGUAUGUAGCAAAAUGAGGGCGAAGCACUGUAUUGUCAUUUUGCUUGAAAUAAAGAAAG
rnacentral:lncRNA from 1 species